rnacentral:rRNA from 1 species
AUUGAACGCUGGCGGCAGGCCUAACACAUGCAAGUCGAACGAGGGGCGGACGGGAGAGUAAUGUGUGGGAAACUGCCCGAUGGAGGGGUAUAACUUCUGGAAACGGUAGCUAAUACCGAAUACCAUCGGCUGCGCCCAGAUGGGAUUAGCUAGUAGGUGGGGUAACGGCUCACCGAGGCGACGAUCCCUAGCUGGUCUGAGCGGAUGACCAGCCACACUGGAACUGUGACACGGUCCAGACUCCUACGGGAGGCAGCAGUGGGGAAUAUUGCACAAUGGGCGCAAGCCUGAUGCAGCCAUGCCGCGUGUAUGAAGAAGGCCUUCGGGUUGUAAAGUACUUUCAGCGAGGAGGCGUUACUCGCAGAAGAAGCACCGGCUAACUCCGUGCCAGCAGCCGCGGUAAUAC